GUGUAUCUAUUUUUGUUGGUUCCACAAUCCACAACUCUUCAGUCCCACCUCCUCCAUUCACUUUAGCCCAUACAAUCGCCUCAGAUUUUGGUGGAAUACUCUGAUUAUCAUCAACAAUCACCCUCUUACUUUCAACGUUGGUCACAUAUCCGGUGUUUAUAGGCAUCUCCAUAUUCUGGCAAAACAGCAUUUGCUUGUUUAAAUCCAAAGUAAGCCCGUGAUCAAUCAUGAAAUCUACUCCCAUUAUAAUUUCAUCCGUGAUUUCUGCUACGAUGAAGGUGUGAUUAACUUCCAGGGUACCAAUCAUCACUUCGCAAAACACUUUUCCCGCGACAGCUGCUUCCUCUCCGGUGGCCGUUCGAAGCUUGCAACCGAUUAAUGGUUCAACCGUUCCUCUUACCACAUCCGGUCGGAUAAUUGAAUGUGUGGCACCAGUAUCCAAAGUAAGCGUUGACAGUCGUCCAUUUACGAUACCGUUGAUAGUAAGAUUGUUGUCAUGGCGACCUAUUUGUGAUAUCGAGAUGGUGGGGCAAAUAGUUGUGGGAACCAGCUCACGCCCCUUUGAACUGUUCCGUUUUAGUUUAACGACUUGUGAGAUGUGGAUGCUCCGUCAUCGUUAUCUGUUGGUUGUUUCCGUUUUGAUGGGUUUACUUUUAUAUUGCAAUUUCGGCAAAGUGACCCGUUUUUCCACAGUUGAAACAUCUUCCUGUUGUAUUUACUCGCGGUGCAGCAAUUGUCUUCAGAGUCUUCAAUAUUUCUUCCAUCAGCGCCGGUUGUUCCAUUUCAACCCUUUGUCCUUUGUGUGCUGGUUUACUUAGUAGGGAAGCUGUUUCCUGUGUGAGGGCGUGCGAAACCGUUUCAGCAAACGUUCUUUUUGGCAAUGCAUAUGUGGCGCGUUUGGUGUCCACAUCACGAAUUCCAUUUAUGAAACAUUGAAUUUUUACCCUCUCAAUGUAAUCCACAGGUGCAUCUGCAUUUGCCAAAUGAGCCAGUCGUUCUAUUUCAGUUGCGAACUCUUGCAAUGACUCGUUCAUCUUCUGACCCCUAUUUUGCAGUUCGAUCUGGUAUAUUUGUUUCCGGUGCUCACUUCCAUAUCGUCUUUCUAUCGCACUCAUCAAUGCCUCAUAUUUGUCCCGUUCACAAUCUGGAAUAGUCUGAAGGAUUUCUGCCGCAGGUCCUUUCAAUGAUACAAACAAAGACGCCACUUUGUCCGCUGCAUUCCAGUUAUUGGCCGUUGCUGUCUUUUCAAACUGAAGUUUGAAAAUUUGAAAUGGAAUAGUUCCAUUGAAUGUGGGUGCCUUCAAUCUUUGAUUAUUUGUUGAUGGUGCAGGGCCAUGUAGUUGCAGUUCUCGCACACGGUUACUUAAUUGAAGAACUUCUGAUUUUAAAUUUUCUUCGUCAUUUUUUAAAGUGCUUAAUUCGUCUUCAAAUUUUGAAAAUUUCUCUUGCACUUGUGUAUUAUUUUCUGUAAUCUGUUGUACCAAACGCUUUUCUAACUGCGUAUUAUUUUCAGUCAUUUGUUGUGUAAGGCAAGACUUUAACUGUGAUGUAUUUUCUGCUAUUUGCUGUGCCAGACGAUUUUCUGUUUGCACUGCAUUUUCUGCAUUUUCAGCUAUUUGUUGUGCCAGACGAUUUCCUGUUUGCACUGCAUUUUCUGUAUUUUCAGCUAUUUUCUGUAUAGCCACUAACAGCAUGUUCAUGUCUACACUUGAUGAUGUUCGUUGUUGCUCUACUUUUUCUUUUACCUUUGUAGAAGUUUCUGGCCCAUCAAAUUCGAACUCGUCCACAUUAAUUCCAUCCGCUUCCAUUGCUUCACGUAAUCGUGCCUGCAGAUCCGCCUUUUGCCCGCUUACUGGCAAAUUACGCUCCUCCAGUUCCUUUUUUAAAUGUUGAAUUCUCAAUUCUCCGAAUUUAAUCAUCUUGAAUUUGGAUUAUUUGACAAUCCCACUUCUGACACCAAUUAUUACGAAUUUACUCCUUGCUAGUUUUACUUUACUAGGUUCGUAUCUCUGGAUUGACAAAUAAAACCAACUCGUCUACACUAUAGCAGUUUACUCUUAACACUGGUUAAUUACGUUGGCGCUGCCACGGCUUAUAUAACCGCGCAUUCCUCGCUGAUGCCGACGUGUCCUUCUAGAAUAUUGCGUCUGGAAAUUAUAAGAACAUAAAUGCAGCUAUUGUUUAGACAAGCAGACAGCCGCGGCGCCAGACUCAGCAAUUGCUUAAGCAGACAAGCAGACAGCUGCGGAGCCAGACGCAGUAAUUGUUUAAGUAUACAAGCAGACAGCCGCGGCGCAAUAUGUCUAUUAUUUCGACAAGCAGACAGCCGCGGAGCCAGAUGUCUACAACAAGACAAAUGCUAUUCCAUAUACCUACAACUAUUGUUCAUAAUACGGGAUGCAUAUAGCAAUACAAAUACAACUUAAUACUACUUUUGUAACAAUAUUUUACAAAAGAACCAAAAAACUAAAAUAAACCUGGGCAACCCGCCAGCCAAAGGGAUAACUCUCCUCUCCCCAGUAGUGAAGACACUUGAGGCCUUGCUACUCCCGAUCUUCACUCAGUGCACAGUACCACCACAGCACUUAGCGCCGUAAACGCCCAGAUAAUUCAUGACCUUAACCAUAAACUACUCUGUGAGAGAACAAUCUUCGUAUCGUUGGACUUGUCAAAGGCCUUUGACACAGUCAGUCACACAACGGUACUGCCGAAGAGGUGGACCAUGAACUAGCUGAGUGGUCGUCAAUCAUCGGUACUAAUUCGAGGAAAAAACUCUAAACUGAGAAGAAUUAAACAUGGGGUUCCGCAGGGUUGUGUCCUCUCCCCACUACUGUUUAAUCAAGCGGUCUUUUCUCAAUUACGUCGAAGAUAUUGAACAAUACGCCGACCGGACUUCGGACGCAACUAACUUCCGACAAGCACUGACCGCUACUUAUCCAAAAUAGAACUCGAAAUUUCCAAUAUAUGUCCUGCGUGCAAUCAGUCACACAUAUGACACCGACAUUGGGCCAAGAACACUGCCUUGUGGUACGCCCGCUUAAAUAGUUUGAGCUUCAGAUGUGGUGGUGUUACAUCGAACUAUAAAACUUCGAUCAUAAAGGUAGGACAAUUCGUGGGUGUAACGUUUUUAUUUUAUACAUAAGACCAUUUAACCAUACUCGAUCAAAAGCCUGCGCGACAUCAAGAAAUAUUGCAGAGCAAUAUUCCCGUUUUUCAGAUGCGCUCCUAUGUACUUGCUCGAUCAUUCCAUGCUUUUCCCUGAAGCCAAAUUGAUGAGAUGGUAUUAUGUUGUGGGUUUUAAGAUGUGGCUUAAUGCGGAGCAUAAGAAGUCUUUCAAAUAAUUUCGACAUGCACGAUUGCAAGCUGAUGGGUCUAUAGGAGGAUGGCUGAGUUUUUUCUUUUCCAGGAAUAGGUUAGUGAUGAUACCAAACUGACUUUGAAUUUUUCCAUUUUUGAGGAAAGUGAGCUUGUUUUGUGAUUUCAUUGAAAAAUAUACAGAUACAGAUUAUAGCACAGUUUGGUAGCUCAAUAAUAAUUUUUGGAGUAAUUAAGUCGUACCCACGAGCUUUCCUUGGUUACACUUUCUUCAUAAUUAUUUUUGAUAUCUCUUCAGGUACGAAUUUCGCUGGCUUAGAUUCUACCAAAUGUGUUACGGUUGACAGUGCAAAGUAGUUAGUUUCUGGGUUUGGCUGGAAGACAUUUUUUAGAUGAGCAGCAACCUUCGUAGCUGAUUUUUCUGCAUCACUCCGAGCCCAUUUGUCAUUAUUGUCACGUAUUGGCAUUUUACACUCUAUUGGCUCACUUAGAGUUUUAUGUGCUUUCCACAACGGGUACUUUUCACUAGUCGGUGAAAGUUUUUGAAUAUACUGGUACUGCGCACGCUGUUCUUCGCUUUUGAGCAAGUUAAUUUUUACAUUAAGUAAAAAUUAGUCAAAAGAAUAUACAUAUUUCAAGCUGCAUCGAAAUGUAUACUCUUUAUUUAUACUCUUAAGACUCUUAUUACAUCGUUCUUACUUCUAUUUAUACUAACUAGUAUGUUUACUUAUUACUAGUUGAUAGUUUCUUUAGAUACAGAUUCUAUUAUUUGUACAAACCUAUACAUAUACAAGUAUAUUGUUUGCUUAGAUAUAUUUGUUUUGUUUUAAGAUAAGGUUGUUGUGGUAUUCAAAAUCAAUAUUGUUUUGAUACUUGUUUGUUUAGGAUUGUUUGUUGUAGUGAUAGUGCAUUUCAACUGUUUCAACUCAAGGUUGUUUGCAUUCUGUUUACUGAAACCAAAGGUUGUUUUGAUGUUUGUUACUAUUAUAAGGAAUACGUUCCUUAACUAGCGCUCUCGUCAGUGCGUGUGUGGCCCGUGACAGUUGUUUUGAGGCUGGUGAUCUAUAAACCUGCCACUCCCAUUGUAGGCAUCGUUUUGUAAUAUGAGUAUUUCAGUUUCUCUAUAAGUUAAUUUAAGCUUUUUGUUUUCCAUAUAACCUUUUUGAGAUGAAAUUUUGUCGGCUGUUAUGAUGGUUGAUUCGAAUGCUGCGAUGGUGUUUUUAAUAUCAGCCACUGUAUCUAAAUUUGGUUCGAGUUCAAUGUGUGUGCGGAUGUAUUUUUUAUACUUUAACUAGUUUGUAGCUUUGGCGUAAGCAUGUAGGGUAACUCUUUAUAGUGUAGCUGAUGUCGCAAAGUGAAGAAAAGUGGUGAGUGGUCUAAUGAGACGUCUGCUUGUUUCUGCACUAAUAAAGCUGCGAGGAAUUUUCCAAGUUACUACGAAGUCAAUUAAAUCUGGCAGCUUUUUGGGUUUGCCGGCCAAUAUGUAGGCAUUUCAGGAGACACGUAAUCAAGUUUGUUUCUUUUACAUAUAACGGCGUUAUAUAAUUGCUAGUCCUUAGGGUUACAUUACCAGCACCCCCAGUGUGGCAAGAACAAGUGCAGCAAGAAAACACUCUGAACACUAGAUUGUGCCAUUCUGAGGCAACCUUUUUUUUUCAACUGAAAAACAGGCUCAACACUUUCGAAAAUGUGUAAAAAAAAAUCACUCAAAAGAUGAGCUCCUAAUAUUAAGAGUGGCUAUUUCAAAUUUUCUGUUUUCCAUAUAAAUAUAUAAAAAAUAUCAUUUUUUUUUGUGGUGGUUAUUGUGCGGAGGUUUUAUAUGUGCCCCGAUGGCUGCCAGUAGGGAUGGUAAACUCGAUCCCGAUUCUACUCGAGAAUCGAGUUUUCUCGAAAAAUAAUCGAUUUUUCGAAUGUCAAGAACCGAUUCUUAAUCGACUUCGACUAUUGGAGAUCGAUUCUGAAAAAUCGAUUAUUAUACGAGAAAACUCGAUUUUCGAGUAGAAUCGGAAUCGAUUUUACCAUCCCUACUGGCUGCUAUCGGGGCACAUAUAAAACCUCCGCACAAUAACCACCACAAAAAAAAUGAUUUUUUUUUCAUGUAAUUUAUAUGGAAAACAGAAAAUUUGAAAUAGGCACCUCUUAAUAUUAAUAUUAAGAACUCAUCUUUUGAGUGACUUUUUAUACUCUCGCAACAAAGUUGCUAAAGAGAGUAUUAUAGUUUUGUUCACAUAACGGUUGUUUGUAAGUCCUAAAACUAAAAGAGUCAGAUAUAGGGUUAUGUAUACCAAAGUGAUCAGGGUGACGAGUAGAGUUGAAAUCCGGAUGUCUGUCUGUCCGUCCGUCCGUCCGUCCGUCCGUCCGUGCAAGCUGUAACUUGAGUAAAAAUUGAGAUAUCAUGAUGAAACUUGGUACACGUAUUUCUUGGCUCCAUAAGAAGGUUAAGUUCGAAGAUGGGCAAAAUCGGCCCACUGCCACGCCCACAAAAUGGCGGAAACCAAAAACCUAUAAAGUGUCAUAACUAAGCCAUAAAUAAAGAUAUUAAAGUGAAAUUUGGCACAAAGGAUCACAUUAGGGAGGAGCAUAUUUGGAAGUAAUUUUUUUGGAAAAGUGGGCGUGGCCCCGCCCCCUAUUAAGUUUUUUGUACAUAUCUCGGAAACUACUAUAGCUACGUCAACCAAACUGUAUAGAGUCGUUUCCUUCCGGCAUUU